rnacentral:rRNA from 1 species
ACACGUAGGGGCCUGACGUUGUUCGGAAUCAUUGGGCGUAAAGGGCGCGCAGGCGGCCGUCCAAGUCCGGCGUUAAAUGGUCGGGCUCAACCAGAUCAUGCGCUGGAAACUGGGCGGCUUGAGUCCCGUAGGGGAUGCCGGAAUUCCAGGUGUAGGGGUGAAAUCUGUAGAUAGCUGGAAGAACACCGAUGGCGAAGGCAGGCAUCUGGCCGGAGACUGACGCUGAGGCGCGAAGGCGCGGGGAGCGAACAGGUUUAGAUACCCUGGUAGUCCGCGCAGUAAACUAUGCGCACCAGGUGUCGGGCGGCAGCGCCCGGUACCGGAGCUAACGCGAUGAGUGCGCCGCCUGGGGAGUAUGCCCGCAAGGGUGAAACUCAAAUGAAUUGACGGGG